UACGAAGGGGGCUAGCGUUGCUCGGAAUGACUGGGCGUAAAGGGCGCGUAGGCGGAUGGCACAGUCAGAUGUGAAAUUCCCGGGCUUAACCUGGGGGCUGCAUUUGAUACGUGUGAUCUAGAGUGAGGAAGAGGGUCGUGGAAUUCCCAGUGUAGAGGUGAAAUUCGUAGAUAUUGGGAAGAACACCGGUGGCAAAGGCGGCGACCUGGUCCUUGACUGACGCUGAGGCGCGAAAGCGUGGGGAGCAAACAGG
rnacentral:rRNA from 1 species